rnacentral:rRNA from 1 species
CACGUAGGGUGCGAGCGUUGUCCGGAAUUAUUGGGCGUAAAGAGCUCGUAGGCGGUGUGUCGCGUCGGCCGUGAAAACUUUCAGCUUAACUGGGAGCUUGCGGUCGAUACGGGCAUCACUGGAGUUCGGCAGGGGAGACUGGAAUUCCUGGUGUAGCGGUGAAAUGCGUAGAUAUCAGGGAGGAACACCGGUGGCGAAGGCGCACAUCUGGCCCCGAUACUGACGCUGAGGCGCGAAAGCUAGGGGAGCAAACGGG